rnacentral:snoRNA from 1 species
AUAUUUUGUAAAAAAUUACAAAAAAUAAACAAAAUAAAAUAAAGUAAUACCUCACUGACCUAAAGUAAGUCCCAGGAGGAGCUCUUUCUGGGCUUUGCAUUGCAGUAACAGGUGUGAACAUUCUAGAGGCAGUUAGAUGGCAUGUAUGAUACUGCAGACAAGA